GACGAACGCUGGCGGCUUGCGUAACACUUGCAAGUCUAACGGAAAGGCCCUGCUUUUGUGGUGUUCUCGAUUGGCUAACGGGUGAGUAACAAGGGAGUAACCUGCCCUUGACUUUGGGAUAACUUCACGAAACUACGGCUAAUACCGGAUACGAGCUCCUGUUGCAUGGAGGUGGGGGGAAAGGUUCGGCGGUCGGGUAUUGACUCGCGGCUUGUCACGUUGUUUGUGGGGUAGUGGCUUACCAAGGCUCUGACGGGUAGCCGGCCUGGGGAGGUGACGCGCUACACUGGGAUUGAGAUACGGCCCAGAGUCCUACGAAGGCUAGCAGUCGGGUACAUCGCACAACAGGCGGACAAACACUCCCGCCACACAGCGUGCGGGAUGACGGCAUUCGAGUUGUAAACCGCUUUCGACUGUGACGAAGCGUGAGUGAAGGUAAUGGGUAAAAAAGCACCGGCUAACUACGUG
rnacentral:rRNA from 1 species